GAUGAACGCUGGCGGCGUGCCUAAUACAUGCAAGUCGAGCGAACAGACGAGGCGCUUGCUCCUCUGACGUUAGCGGCAGACGGGUGAGUAACACGUGGAUAACCUACCUAUAUUACUGGGAUAACCUCGGGAAACCGGCUCUAAUACCGGAUAAUAUAUUGAACCGCAUUGUUCAAUAGUGAAAGACGGUUUUGCUGUCUCUUCUAGAUGCAUAUGCGCCGCAUUAGCUAGUUGGUAAGUUAACGGCUUAUCAAGGCUACGAUGCGUAGCCGACCGGAGAGGGUGGUCGGCCGCACUAGAGCUGGGACGCCGACAAGGCGCCUGCGAGACGCAGCAGUAGGGAAUGUGCCGCAAUGGGCGGGAGCCUGGCGGAGCAGCGCCACGUGAGAGAUGGAGAUCUUCGGAUCGUAAAACUGUGUUAUUGGGGGAAAACAAAUGUGUAAGUAACUGUGCACGUCUUGACGGUACCUGAUCAGAAAGCCACGGCUAACUACGUG
rnacentral:rRNA from 1 species